AUUGAACGCUGGCGGCAUGCCUUACACAUGCAAGUCGAACGGCAGCACGGGAGCAAUCCUGGUGGCGAGUGGCGAACGGGUGAGUAAAGUAUCGGAACGUGCCCAGUCGUGGGGGGUAACGUAGCGAAAGUUACGCUAAUACCGCAUACGAUCUAUGGAUGAAAGCGGGGGAUCGCAAGACCUCGCGCGAUUGGAGCGGCCGAUAUCAGAUUAGGUAGUUGGUGGGGUAAAGGCCCACCAAGCCAACGAUCCGUAGCUGGUCUGAGAGGACGACCAGCCACACUGGAACUGAGACACGGUCCAGACUCCUACGGGAGGCAGCAGUGGGGAAUUUUGGACAAUGGGCGAAAGCCUGAUCCAGCCAUUCCGCGUGCAGGAUGAAGGCCCUCGGGUUGUAAACUGCUUUUGUACAGAACGAAAAGGUUUCUACUAAUACUAGGAGCUCAUGACGGUACUGUAAGAAUAAGCACCGGCUAACUACGUGCCAGCAGCCGCCGUAA
rnacentral:rRNA from 1 species